AGUGAACGCUGGCGGUAGGCCUAACACAUGCAAGCCGAACGGCAGCACAGUAAGAGCUUGCUCUUACGGGUGGCGAGUGGCGGACGGGUGAGGAAUACAUCGGAAUCUACUUUUUCUUGGGGGAUAACGUAGGGAAACUUACGCUAAUACCGCAUACGACCUACGGGUGAAAGCAGGGGAUCUUCGGACCUUGCGCGAUUGAAUGAGCCGAUGUCGGAUUAGCUAGUUGGCGGGGUAAAGGCCCACCAAGGCGACGAUCCGUAGCUGGUCUGAGAGGAUGAUCAGCCACACUGGAACUGAGACACGGUCCAGACUCCUACGGGAGGCAGCAGUGGGGAAUAUUGGACAAUGGGCGCAAGCCUGAUCCAGCCAUACCGCGUGGGUGAAGAAGGCCUUCGGGUUGUAAAGCCCUUUUGUUGGGAAAGAAAAGCAGCAGGUUAAUACCCCGCUGUUCUGACGGUACCCAAAGAAUAAGCACCGGCUAACUUCGUG
rnacentral:rRNA from 1 species